UCUAUAUCCCAGGCACGAAGAAUGGAUUAUGGUGAGACCACCUAUUAAGAUGCCUAAAUGGAUGAAGAUGCCCCAGAUGGUGUUUCAUUACGUGGCAGUGACGAGUAAUUCAGACCACCCACUCUUAAUGCUCCUAGAUGCUGCCCCUGGGUCAAUGGAAUGAAGCAGUCACGACAAAAGAAUUAGGCUUGACGAAUUAGAAGCCUGGGUCUAUGAAGAGCACUGGAGCGAGCUGGAAGAGUAUUGCCUUUGGAAGGAGCUUCUCUGCCAUCUCUGAGUUUCUGUCUCAGAAGGCUGAAGGUGGCAAAGCUUGCCAGCCAGCACAGAUAGAACAUCAGCCACUGGACACCUCGUGAUUAGGGACCCCUCUCAUUAUUUUAAUUUUGGUUUUGCAGUGAGACAAGCUGGCAGCCUUGUGCUGUGCUUGGCAGUGUAGAACAGUUUAAUAAUCACCCAAUAAAACUUUUCAUCUGGCUUCCCA